CUAGACAUCUUGUCAAUGAUAACGUAUCAAAUCACCCUAACUAUUUCCAACUCUCGUCUUUUCCCACAGUAAAAGAACACAUCUUUGCAACUUUCAGAGAUCCUCUGGGAAAUCUCAAGGGCAAUUUUGGGCACUGAGGAGGCUAGGAAGACUGUGCUUGAUUGUUAGCUGAAACAACUUUUGGCUAUUUUGCACAGGACUAACAGGCCCUCUGCUUUAUGUGAAUUUCUCACUUUAACUUGUUUGCUCCAUUUUGGGUGCAGACCCAGCCCCAUGUGCCUGACCACAAACCAACAUUUCCUGUCUCAAUUCUCCUAUUCAUAUAAUGUUUGAGGAUGUUUGUUAAGUUUUAAGAAUUCCCUCCCCUCCCCCCAGAUUUUCGCAGGGUUUUGUUAAUUUCCCCUCAACUUCCCACAGGUAUCUUAAAAACUUUGCUCACUCAUCCCUUCUCUGAAUUAGGAUUUGAGCAUCUUUCUGUUAUGCUGUUGCCCCACUCUUACUGCAAUACUCCCCUUCUUCAGAAAGUUUUUCUAGACUAAUGUCCAGAUUAAGCUUCUUUUCUUUGACAAUAAUGAUGCCACGACUUGGACAAAAUGCCCAUUGCCCCUGGCUCCUGCUUUCUUCACCCAGUGCUGCCUUAUUGGACUCCUUGUGCCUCUCCGUGACUGGGGAAAUCAGGAUCCACAGUGAGCUUCAACUGAGAAUCUAGAAGAGAGUAGACAGAAAAAUAUUUUUCCCUUCCUUCCAAAUGCAAGGAUAAUCUUACGUGAGUCCUGGAGGAAGAAUGGAGGCUAUCUGGGAUUCACAGAGGGCAAGCAAAUGUUUAGAUAGUAGCUGCCUGUGAGUAGACAACACGAUCUGUGCCAGCCAUGCUACACUGUCCCUGCUCUUAUGGAGAUUCCAGUCUAAAAGGAAAGACCAAUAUUAAUUACCGAAUCCAUUAGCGAAUGCUACCUGCAAAGCAAGUGAGGUACUCUGAAGGAAAAGAAGACCGGGACUCACAGCGGAAGGUGAGCUGGCCCUGGGGCAGCAGAAGGGCUUGCCUUGAGAAACGCUUGGGUUGAGAGCUAAAAGAUGAAAAGGCUUUAUUUCAGGUGGCACAAGAGAGAUGAGAAGAGAAUUCUAGGCAGAAUAAACAGCACUUGCAAAGGCAAGAGAGAACAGGCUCUGAAGCCUCCUGGUAUGCCCAGCACCAAGGCAGGGAGCAGGGUAUGGAAUGAGUUGAGGCUGGAGUGGGAAGGAGAGGCAGGCCAUGCAGCAACUGACAGAGUCAUGAUCUCUGUGCAAAGAGCACUGGGGAGCCAUGGAAGGACAUAGGCAGAACAGUGGCAUUAAGCAAGAAAUACCCAAUGCAUCCAACAGGUGACUAGACUAAUACUCAAACUUAGAUCCUUUGCCUUUCUUCCCCCCCAUCUCCAACCUCACUGCAUUUUGCCAGCCCAGGAAGUUUAGCCAGUAGAGGUCAUCACCAAGCCACACAGAUCACAGAACCUCAGGGUUGGCACGGACUUGGCUAUCUUGGAGACACAUCCACUAGCUAAGCACUCCCAUGUCCUCUCUGAAUCCCAGCCCAUUCCCAGUCUGUGUGAAACUGGACAUCUGGACUCAGCAUAUGCUUAAUAGCUGGGUCAUCUCUAGCAAAUUAAAUCACUUCUGUGGGCCUCCCUUUCUACACCUGCACUACGGCAGUGCUAGCGUCAAUUGGCUAUUAAGAUAAUGUAGGUCAUGUUUUCAGGACCAUAUCCAAUCUUUAGUAGAUGGCCAAAGAGUGAUGAUUUAAUCUGAAUUCAGCCAUUCAUCUUGAGCUAUAUCUUUCUCCCAACUCAGCUGUGACAGUUCCAAGACAUCAUUCUGCAUAUCAGACAGACCUUAUCAUUAAGUCUAGUAGUCCACUAAAUAAUUAUGCAUGUUAUAGCAGCCCAUAGCUAACGCAGAAAUAAAAAAAAAAAAAUCAUAAACUUACCCACAGUGGAGAAAGGAGGAAGUGAAGAAAUCUCAUCUUUCUGGUAUAAUUUUCCAUUGUUUUAUUCCUUGGAAAAUAGCCAGCAUAAUUUUGCAUGGUGUUCAAAAAAUGAAUGUCACCUCACAAAAAGACAAUGAGUUCAAUAUUUCUGUUGAAAAUAAACAUUUGAAAACAGUAUCUAUUUUAUAUUCAUGUAUAUUUAUUCAUCUAUUCAAUUUAUAA